rnacentral:rRNA from 1 species
AGAGUUUGAUCAUGGCUCAGGAUGAACGCUGGCGGUGUGCCUAAUACAUGCAAGUCGUGCGGUAACAGGUUCUCACUAUUUGCUUCUCUCUUAAUCAGUAAUGAUCGGGAAUUAGAGGAGUAAGUUGUGAGAAUGCUGACGAGCGGCGGACGGCUGAGUAACGCGUAGGAACGUGCCCCAAAGUGAGGGAUAAGCUCCAGAAAUGGGAGUCUAAUACCGCAUAUGGUCUUCGGAUUAAAGCUUCGGCGCUUUGGGAGCGGCCUGCGUUUGAUUAGAUAGUUGGUGAGGUAAAGGCUCACCAAGUCUACGAUCAAUAGCUGGUCUGAGAGGAUGAUCAGCCAGACUGGAACUGAGACACGGUCCAGACUCCUACGGGAGGCAGCAGUAAGGAAUCUUCCACAAUGGGGGCAACCCUGAUGGAGCAACACCGCGUGCAGGAUGAAGGCCUUAGGGUCGUAAACUGCUUUUAUUAGCGAAGAAUAUGACGGUAACUAAUGAAUAAGGGCCGGCUAACUACGUGCCAGCAGCCGCGGUCAUACGUAGGGCCCGAGCGUUAUCCGGAGUGACUGGGCGUAAAGAGUUGCGUAGGCGGUAAUUUAAGCAGAUAGUGAAAUCAUGUGGCUCAACCAUUAUGUCUAUUAUCUGAACUGAAUUACUCGAGAAUGGUAGAGGUAGCUGGAAUUUCUAGUGUAGGAGUGAAAUCCGUAGAUAUUAGAAGGAACACCAAUGGCGUAGGCAGGCUACUGGACCAUUUCUGACGCU